rnacentral:rRNA from 1 species
GACGAACCGAGCGAACGUUGUUCGGAAUCACUGGGCUUAAAGGGCGCGUAGGCGGGUGCUCAAGUCUGUGGUGAAAUCCUCCCGGCUCAACCGGAGAACGGCCAUGGAUACUGGGUGUCUCGGAGGGUGAUAGGGGUAUGCGGAACUAUCGGUGGAGCGGUGAAAUGCGUUGAUAUCGAUAGGAACUCCGGUGGCGAAGGCGGCAUACUGGAUCACUUCUGACGCUGAGGCGCGAAAGCCAGGGGAGCGAACGGG